UGCCAGCCGCCGCGGUAAUACGGAGGGUGCGAGCGUUAAUCGGAAUUACUGGGCGUAAAGCGCGCGUAGGUGGCCUUUUAAGUCAGAUGUGAAAGCCCCGGGCUUAACCUGGGAACUGCAUUUGAUACUGGGAGGCUAGAGUAUAGUAGAGGCAAGUGGAAUUUCCUGUGUAGCGGUGAAAUGCGUAGAUAUAGGAAGGAACACCAGUGGCGAAGGCGGCUUGCUGGACUAAUACUGACACUGAGGUGCGAAAGCGUGGGGAGCAAACAGGAUUAGAUA
rnacentral:rRNA from 1 species